CCCUCUCCGUAACUCCCCCCCCUUCCCCUCCCCCAUGGUCUUCUGUUAAGUUUCUCAGGAUCCACAUAUAACUCUGCCUGUAACUGAGUGUCCGUCUCUACCCCCCUCCAAGGCUCAGUUCCCCUGCGUGAAAGGCGGAAGAGCAGCUGAGCCACCCCCCCCCCCCCCACACACAAAGGCUGUCAUGAGGAUUAAAUGAGUAACGUCCUGGAGCCCUUGGUACAGUGCAUGCCACACGGGGAGCUCUGAGUAAAUGGCGGUUGAUGCUAAUGAUGCUAAUAACUAUGAGUGUUAUAUUCUGCGAUGGUGGUAGUAGGUGGCUUUUUGGUCUUGCCACUUCGGACUCUUCCGAAAGAAACACAGCCGGGUCAAGCAUCGGUCCUUUCUUGGGUAGGAGGUAAACCUCACAUUUCACCCAAAGUUUCCCUCCCAUUCCAUCCAUGUAUGCCCCAUGCCCGGCACACAGUGGGUGUUCGAGAAGUUCAUUUCUUACUCCCCAACGGCAUCUAAUCCCUUCCUUGCGGUCAAGACCCGGAACACUCAAAGAUCAAGGUGGAGCUAAAUUCUCCAUCAACCUCCCCGCUUGGCGCCGUCUCUGGGGCUGGUGCCCUGAGCCAUUUCCCUCAGGCCGGUCCCCACGCAGGUGCCUGGGUAGCAAGUCCCAAAUCCCCUCUCCUGUGCCCACGAUGGGGCUUGGGCGAUACCCAAGGAUUUGUGCCCCGAGGGGUGCCACCAGUUCUGCCCCUGGAGCAGGCCAGAAGAAGCCCGUCUGGGGAGAGGGGUGCAGUGGGGAUGAGAAAGGGUGCUGAGGUCUCUCCCCACCCAGUCUAAGCAGGGCCCCGAGAAGCACCCAGAAUCCACAAGGUCAGCAGGGGUGCAGGCCAGGUGCGUGGGAGAAGGGGAGCUGGCACAGCCUUUUCCUCUAGGCCUGCCUGAAAGCCAAGCCCCACAUCCCGACACCUUCCCUUCCCCUCAAAGACGGUGGGGCUUCACCUGCAGGACGCGGCCAGAGCGUGGCUCAAUCACGCGAAGCUUCUUGUCCUUGCACGUGGUGGUGAGCAGGCUGCCGUCGGUGUUGAAGGACAUGCAGAGGAUCACAUCUGAGUGACAGUCUAUCAUCUUCACCGGCUCACCCACGUCCAGGUUCCAGAUGAGGACCUGCCAGGGGGGAGCCAGAGAAGCCAGACAGGCAGCCUCCGUGGACCCCGGGAAAGACAGGGUGCACAGAAGAUGCCCGGCGGUGUGCAGCGACUGAACGAAUGAAUGGACAGGCGGGUGGGACAACGCUGAUGAACGUGCUCUGGAAGGCCUCUGCAGCCCUAGACAACUCAUACUGCCGGGCUAUUGCUACAGUCUAUCUCGUCCCAGAGGGCCACACAGUAAUCAGCUUUUGGCCAGUGUUGUAUUAAAAGCCUGCCUCCGCUUCCCUUCCCACACCCUUCUAAGAGCUCUGACCUCCGUCCCAGCAACUCUGCUGAUACCCCAUGGAGCCAUCCCUUACUGUGCCCCCACCAAGGGUGGACACGUGAGCAGAGGAAAAGCCAUCUGGGAGGCUGGGAGGCCCGGAGUCUCUCCUGAGAGAUGAAGAACUAAGGGGCAGAGGUGGAUGGGACGCUGGAGCCCCCCGGGAGAAUGGGCAGAGCCUGGAUGCUGCCACUGUUCGCAGUCUUCCGGACGCCUGGGUGGCUCAGUCGGUUAAGCAUCUGACUCUCGGGUUAGG